rnacentral:misc_RNA from 1 species
AUUUGGAAAGCACACUUACUAUUCAAACUUGAGAAUAAACUUUAUCCAAGAAUAAAAGAACUUGAGGAUAAACUUUCUCCAAGAAUAAAAGAAUUUUGGUUAAUUGAUAUUUUAAUUCCACAGAAAUUAAGAAAAGACAGUAUAUCUACUCCUAUAUAGUUUUCACGAUGAUAGUUCCACCUAGUAGAUGGAGUAUCAAAACAACUAGUUCUCCAGGAAUUUUUCUCAUCAAAAGCUCAUUCAAAACAAGCAGAGCCUUAUCAGUGAACAUUGUAACUGCAACUAAACAGCAGCAAUAGCAUAACCUAAAGACAUUCCACAAUUAAGUCCAAAAGGUGGACUUUCUAGAUAAUAAACAAAAUAUAGUGGAAAGUAACUUUAAUUAUGAGAAUAAUUCUCAAUUAAAUUUGAAAUUGAAAUUUCGAGAGAGAGAAAGAGAGAGAGAG